rnacentral:rRNA from 1 species
AAACGGCCGCGGUACCCUAACCGUGCGAAGGUAGCGCAAUCACUUGUUCUUUAAAUGAGGACUAGUAUGAAUGGCAUCACGAGGGUUAUACUGUCUCCCUCUUUCAAUCAGUGAAACUGAUCUUCCCGUGAAGAAGCGGGAAUACAUCUAUAAGACGAGAAGACCCCAUGGAGCUUAAAACUCAGUAUCAACUACUAUACUAAUUUAUCCUCUUAAUUAAGCAGAUCUGACUACUAGUUUUCGGUUGGGGUGACCGCGGAGCAAAACAAAACCUCCACGAUGAAAGGAA